GUCUCCAUUCCUCACUUCCAUGUUUUCUUCCAUUCACCUGAUUAGAGCUUGAUUCUCACCUCUCCAUCAAAACCGUACUUACCCAGCCAACUGUGACUUCCAUUUUCCCCUAGCUGACUUUUAGAACAUUGAAACAGACUACUUCCUCCUUCUUGAAACACUUUCUUCCUUUUGCUUCCAUUUCUACCCAUUUUCACCUUACCUCAAUGGGCUCCUUCUCCAUCUCUUUUGCUGGAUCCAUUGCCAGUUCCACUUAUAAAUGUUGGUGUGCACCAAGGCUUUAGCUUUUAGCCCUCUUCUCUUCCCUAUUAACACUUUCUCCCAAGGAGAUCUCUUCCAACUCCAUAACUUUAAAAUUCAGCUCUGUGUUAAUGCCUGAGUUCUGACUUCUCCCCAGAUCUCCAGACAUAUGGUCAAAUAUCUACUGGACAUUUCCAUUUAGAUGCCUGCUGUGAGGAAAGCCAGCUGCCAUAACAUGAGGGCACUCAAGCAAGUACGCCUGUGGAGAGGCUCCUUGGAGAGGAACUGAGGCUUCCUGCCAACAGCUGGUCCUGACUUUCCCAUCUGUGACUGAGCCAUCUGUCGAUUCAGUCGUGUCCGACUCUACGCGACCCCAUAGACGGCAGCCCACCAGGCUCCUCCAUCCCUGGGAUUCUCCAGGCAAGAACACUGGAGUGGGUUGCCAUUUCCUUCUCC
ensembl:lncRNA